UUCUUUUCACUUAAUCACUUCUACAAUCCAGCUAACAUUUUAAGAUAUAUUUCUUUGGCUGCUAUUUUAUCGAAUCCAUUGUUGCUAGAUAAUUAACUUGUCUAUAUAUGUUGUACAAACAGGAAUGAUUCUUCUUGCAAGCGAUUUCGAACAUGCAGACGCCAAAGCUUGGACUAAAGAAAGUGACCGUCGAAUUGACUAUGGGAUUUGCCCAUAUUUAGGAACCAAAAAAGUUGGUGGACCUCUAUGCGUCAAUUGUUGUUCGGGUAAAAAAGGAUGUAAAUAUUUCAGUAACGAUGGAACUUAUAUUUGUGAUGGAGAAUCUGAAUGGCUAAGUGAAGGAGAAAAUGAUCUCCAGAAAGGCAAUGUUUCUAUUUCUUAAUCUUUGUAUUAAAUUAAAGCACAUUGAUGUGUAACAUGUGCUAUGUAAUAUGUAACAUGGUUGUGGACCUUUACCACGGCUUGUGUGCUACUUAAGUAUGUUUUUAUUUUAAUAAUAAAUGGAACAAUAGUUUGUUCUAGUUUUAAUUAUGAGUA